UCCCGAGGUAGCUAUGGAGGCUCUGUUGCAAGUUUUGGAACCCCUAAUCGAUGGUCAUAUGCAGGAGGAUAUAGAUUCUACUAUGUGGGAUACUAUUAUGGCCGUAGAGGUGCUGGAUCUUUCAAGCAAACUGGAGAGGAUAUGAACCCAUGGCUGAUAAUGGCCAUCUCUCUCUUGGUUCUUUUCACCAUGGGGUUCUUGGUGUGGCUGACGACAUCCGUAAUACUUCGCAAAUGCUACUAGCCCCGUCAACCUGCUGGCCCUUGUAGAGUUUCAUGCCUUAGUGGCUGCCCAACAUGGUGGUGGUUUGACUGCGGCAGGGCUUCUCGUGCUACUUCUAGCCUUCAUUGGUCUAGGAGUAGGAAUUUACUAUGCCUACAUAUGCCUUCGUGCUCGCCCACUUCGAUCUAAGCCACCCACUGAUUCUGAACG
rnacentral:misc_RNA from 1 species